UUAUAGCAGAUGUAGGACGGGGAGGGCUAUCCGGGGUCACGAAGGGCCCGAGUCCCCUAAAUUCAGGGGACUGACAGGCUCCAACUACCCGGGACUCAGUAUUAGCCUUCGCCUCACUGGCUCCUCUGCACAAGAGGAGGCUUCCGGAGUAGCCCUCGGUGAAGCCCCAGACCACAGCUAUGAGUCCCUUCGUGUGACGUCUGCGCAGAAACAUGUUCUGCAUGUCCAGCUCAACCGGCCCAACAAGAGGAAUGCCAUGAACAAGGUCUUCUGGAGAGAGAUGGUAGAGUGCUUCAACAAGAUUUCGA
rnacentral:lncRNA from 1 species